rnacentral:misc_RNA from 1 species
GAUGAAGAACGCAGCGAAAUGCGAUAAGUAAUGUGAAUUGCAGAAUCCAGUGAAUCAUCGAAUCUUUGAACGCACAUUGCGCCCGCCAGCAUUCUGGCGGGCAUGCCUGUUCGAGCGUCAUUUCAACCCUCGACCUCCCCUUGGGGAGGUCGGCGUUGGGGACCGGCAGCACACCGCCGGCCCUGAAAUGGAGUGGCGGCCCGUCUGCGGCGACCUCUGCGUAGUAAUACAGCUCGCACCGGAACCCCGACGCGGCCACGCCGUAAAACACCCAACUUCUGAACGUUGACCUCGAAUCAGGUAGGACUACCCGCUGAACUUAAGCAUACAAUAAGCGGAGGA